GAUGAACGCUAGCGGCAGGCCUAAUACAUGCAAGUCGAACGGCAGCACGAGUAGCAAUACUUGGUGGCGAGUGGCGCACGGGUGCGUAACACGUAUGCAAUCUACCCAUAACAUGGGGAU
rnacentral:rRNA from 1 species